UAGACACGAAAGCAGCCUAUGUCAAUUACCCUGGCACAACAGACUGAACUAGAUAGGCCUGCCCGAAUGUCUUUGGUUGGGGCGACCGCGGGGAAAUAAACAACCCCCAUGUGGAAUGGGAGCACCACCCUCCUAAAACUAAGAGUGACAACUCUAAGUAACAGAAAUUCUGACCAAUUAGAUCCGGCCAUGCCGAUCAACGGACCGAGUUACCCU
rnacentral:rRNA from 1 species